CUCCCUCACUAGGCAGCUCUCUAACCACAACACCAUUAUACUAGGCCUUAGGCAAGAUCUUGCCAGUGCCAACAAGAAGAUCAAGGAAUUAGAGCGCCGCUAAGUUAUCUAGAUUAGACCUUGAGGCAAUGCAUCCUAGUCAUUUAUCUUUAAAUUCGGUUUAGGUUUACUAUUAUCAGUUUGCUAUCAGUCUUUUGUAAUAAAUGCCUCAAGAUCAAUAAAGAGUAUUAUUAUUAUUAUGUCUUGUGUGGGGGAGAUCCCUCGACAUGCCAAACACACUCCGACUACACCACUCCACGAUUCAGGUACACACUCUGCACACUUUACUUUACACAUAUAUAUAUAUUGGAUUAUGCAGAUUAUUGUCUCUGAUAUGAUAAAAUAAAAAGAUUAAAAUAUUUCUAAUCAUGGUUAAUCUCAAUCUGUGAUAUUUCCUGAAAACUUGCAAAUCAUUUUAAAACCCUGUGUCACUUAAAGUCAAUAUGGAAUAUGUGAUGGUAGAGUAUGAGUUUCUUAUUCUUGAUAUCAUUGUUGCUUGGAGAAUUUAUUUCAAAAUAAAUCCUAGCUACCAUCCUCAGUGUUUUAUGCCUGAUAAGACUGAAAAUAUUAAUUAUGAUUAUAAAAGCUAUCUACUCUGUAUUGAGUUUGUUCAAAAUGAGUUAGACCCUUGUAGAGAGAUUUAUCAUGCUCCUAAGAUCAAUAUAUUAUUUCAGAAAGAUUCACUCUUCCGAAGUAUUAUUGCAUUAGAGGCAUGGGCUAUGCAAAAAUAAAAAUACUUCGAGGAAAUAAAAAGGAGCAAGUGCUAGACAACCUCGCAGAAAAAAUGGACAAGUGUCCGGUAGUAGAAUUAGGGGUACCUCGGUAUCCACUUAAAAAAAGAGAAAGAGAAAAAAAUGAUAGCCCAUGGUCCCUCUAAUAAGCAAUAUGCCAGCAAGAGUUGACAAAGAUUUUAAUUUCCAAAGUCUUUGAUCUAAGAGUAUGACAUUUCCCUCCCCGGAUCCCGUUUUGAUCAGGCAAUAAAUGCAAAGUAAGUAUGCUUGAGAAUUUUUGCAAAAAAAUAAAACAGCCUCAGUGAGAUAUAUAUAAAAGAUAAUGAGUGAUCUGAGAGAACCUAUGAGGAUAAAAAGGUAUGCUAACUUUCUUUCAAAAAAAUAUACAAAAACUCGAAGUGACAGGAUUGAGAAGAAAGGAUCUUUACUCUUGACCAUAAACAUCCCUGACUAUGGUACAUAGUGGAAUUUUAACACCCUGCAAUUAUAAAGAGAAUGUUUUAAAUGUUUUACCCCAGAUAUUGUUCUUAACCAUCCUUUUCUCGAGGACGAGUAAAAGCCUAAGUAUGGGGGUAUUUGUUGACGGUUCUUAAGUAUCAAUUUUAAUUAUCAAAUAAACAAGAGAAAGGACCAAUAUGCAACCAACACCUAGAAUUAGGGUUUGAUCUGACAGAAUUCCACGAGUUUUGUUGUUUAUCUGUUUCUGCAGGGGGUUAUCAGGAAAUAAGGAAGAAAGGCCCACAUGUCGAGAUUACAUAGAGAUAUCAACGCACCGCGUGAUUUUCCACCAUCUAGAAGACUCCAGAAGCCACGGGAAGAAGACGGAGGCCGAAAGGGGCCAGGCCCAGGGCGCCCGCCCUGGUGACCUGGGCGCCCGCCCUCCUCUGGAUGCCAAUCAGGACUCUCUUCGCUCGGGAUAUUCCACCGACCUAUUGGAUCAAGAAAAACAUAGUACCACCUCGCCUAUCGACCCAAAAACGCAUAGAAGGGAAGGACUAUAUAAGGAGACCCCCCUGGCCCCUGGAGAAGACAUGAAGAAAUUAUCAUAGAGACUGAGGGGUGCCCUCGAAGGAAAACCUCUUCUCUAAUUAAUAUUUCUUUUUAGGCUUAGUAACUAAUGUAAGGUAGAAAUAGAUCUUCUAGUUUCUACUAGAUUGAGAGAGAUAGAGUGGAGGUGUAGAUUGGAGGAAGCCCGGCCUGUCGGUGUCUACUCCAAGCUUGUACC
rnacentral:lncRNA from 1 species